AAUUACAAUUGUACUAGAAAUAAGUCUCAUACUGAAAAAGUUAUUUUGGUUGGAUAAUUUAUUCUGAUAUCCAAACAUACCUUAAGGGCCCGUUUGGUUCGAGUUAUGUAAUAUUACAAAGUAUCUCGACAUAUCCAGGCAUCUUGGAUUUCGACGUAAGAUUACUACUGAUGCCGUAUUAACGCGUUUGGUUUAAUGCAGUAAUGUAAUACUAGAUUACACUGUUUAUAGCAUUAAUACGUUUGGUUCAGUUUUUAAAAUUUAGUAAUCCUGACAUAAAAGUAUAGUUUUUUUCAAAAUUAUCCUUGUUGUGGUCAUUUGAAUAUUAUUUUUUGCGAAAAUGACAAAUGGAGGGAAGAAGAUCAUGAUGAUUACCUGGGAGGACGACGCAAUAGAAGAUGAUAGGUGUUCGUACGCGUGCGCGCGAGAGAGAGAGAGAGAGAGAGAGAGAGAGGAGGGAAGGCGACAGAGAGAUGAAAAUAAUACUGUUAAUUAGAUUUGGGUUGUUGGAGGGUAAAAUUAUCAUUUUACAUAAUAUGUAGUAUUAACGGAUUUUAGUAAUGCAAGAUACACGACCCCCCUCCCGUUAAUAUUUUCGAUGUAAUCCUGCUCGAUUUGUAAUGCUACAUUAACGACUAGAUUACAUAGCGGAUUAACCAAACACAGUUAUCCUGGCAGGAUUGCCUGUAAUCCUGCCAGGAUAACUCGAACCAAACGCACCCUAAAAGUAAAAUAAAACAAAUGCUAUAGAUAUAUGCACCAA
rnacentral:lncRNA from 1 species